CAAUCAGUCAACACGAAAAAUUUCACGCUCGAUUUGCGCGCACUCGAUAAAACCAAAAGUAGACCGGGAAACGCUAAAGCCGCAAUUGCAUGUCCCUACGCACAGCCAGACGGAGAUGGCGCACACCAAAUCACAAUCGGCGAAAAUCGCACGAAAUAUCCGAAUUUCGAAAACCCGAGAUCUUUGCACACAACUUCUGUCAUUCUAAUAAACCAUUAAAAAUUAAAGGACUUCCGGAACCCCCGCACAUAAUGUACUGAAUCCGCCAUUUUUUAAACACCCGGUAUAGAUUCUGGGAGAUCCAUUCAACGAGGAACAAAACCCGGCGAACCACGAAGAGAGCGAAAAAUAAAAACUGUCAAAAUUUUCGUUGGAAAUAAAUACAUACUCUAUA